rnacentral:misc_RNA from 1 species
AAGUCGUAACAAGGUUUCCGUAGGUGAACCUGCGGAAGGAUCAUUAACACGUAUCCAACGUUAAAACAACCCUGUGAACCUUCAAUCUUGCUCGCGUGGCUCCAUGAAAGCAGCAAUCCCUGGUAAAUCAUUGUCGACCAGAUUUUGAGUCAGGGACCUCUGCCGAUGAGAGUUACGCUCGUAGCGAUGCAAGCGACCUGGCACCCCCAAGCAAUCAGAGUUCUGAAAGCGUCUUUGAUUGUGUAAGGGUGGCGCAAACACGAUCGUUGGAGGCCGACACGGCCGACAGGUCGCGAUAAUUCCGCUGACCACAAAAAACCGAACAACUGUUAACAAUGGAUAUCUUGGUUCUC